rnacentral:lncRNA from 1 species
GAAUAAAGGCAACAGUAGUAUUCCGCUGUUUAAAACUCAUAAUUCCAUGGACAAAAAACAAAAUCGGGGUAACAAACUAAAACAGAGGGAAACGCAUUAAAUAUAAGAGGAGAACAACGACACAACACUAAAAUGUAACACACACAGAAACGGACCAAGCAUCAGACAAAAUCCCACGAGAAUAACAAAUAUAACAUCAAAACCAAAUACAUGAAUUUGGGAUAGACAAGUACCGUGACACGUCUUAUCGCAAUGUGAAAUUACACUCAAAAAUAAGAGAAAACAAACGACGCAACGUUAAAAUGUAACACACACAGAAACGAACAAUAAUAUAACAAUGGCCAUAUUCCUGACUUGGUACAGGACAUUUUUAAAGGAAUAAAUGGUGGGUUGAACCUGGUUUUGUGGCAUGCCAAACCUCGCACUUUAAUGGCAAUGUUAAAUAUAACAUUGAAAUGACAACAUAAUAUUACAGGACUACAAUACAAAUAAUGUAUUAGACAAAGAAACACAUGAUUAAUGAAUAACA